AUACGGAGGAUCCGAGCGUUAUCCGGAUUUAUUGGGUUUAAAGGGUGCGUAGGCGGCGCUUUAAGUCAGUGGUGAAAUACGGCAGCUCAACUGUCGCAGUGCCCUUGAUACUGAAGUGCUUGAAUACUGUUGAAGAUGGCGGAAUGAGACAAGUAGCGGUGAAAUGCAUAGAUAUGUCUCAGAACACCGAUUGCGAAGGCAGCUGUCUAAGCAGUGAUUGACGCUGAUGCACGAAAGCGUGGGGAUCGAACAGGAUUAGAUACCCUGGUAGUCCACGCCCUAAACGAUGAUAACUCGAUGUUAGCGAUAUACAGUUAGCGUCCAAGCGAAAGCGUUAAGUUAUCCACCUGGGGAGUACGGUCGCAAGAUUGAA
rnacentral:rRNA from 1 species